rnacentral:pre_miRNA from 1 species
AUAAUACUCCCUCCGUCCGAAAUUACUUGUCAUCAAAAUGGAUGUGUCUAGAACUAAAAUACAUCUAGAUACAUCCAUUUCAAUGAAAAGUAUUUUCGGACGGAGGGAGUAGUAG